CUAGUUGGUAGGGUAGUGGCUUACCAAGGAGUUAACGGGUAACGGGGAAUCAGGGUUCGAUUCCGGAGAGGGAGCCUUAGAAACAGCUACCACAUCCAAGGAAGGCAGCAGGCGCGCAAAUUACCCAAUCCAGACACUGGGAGGUAGUGACGAGAAAUACUGGGGAUGCACCAAGUGUGUAUCAUCCGGAAUGAACGUAACACAAAAAAUUCGAUGAGGAUCUACUGGAGGGCAAGUCUGGUGCCAGCAGCCGCGGUAAUUCCAGCUCCAGUAGUGUAUAUCAACAUUGUUGCGCUUAAAACGCUCGUAGUUGGAUUACAGAGUGUCGAACACGCUGUCUAUUAUGGCGGUUGUGGUAUAUUGCGCCUAGGUGGCUCGUAGAUGGAUUACAGAGUGUCGAACACGCUGUCUAUUAUGGCGGUUGUGGUAUAUUGUGUCGAGUUGGUCUAAAGACGGCUCAAAUGAUAUAUGACGCUCUUUUGUCGCAUUGGCUUUGGUUGGUAGCUUUAUUGGUGCCGACCAAACGCCGAUGGAGUGUGCCUUGAAUAAAACAUGGUGCUCAAAGCAGGCGUAAGCUCGAGUGUAAUAGCAUGGAACGAGUAAAAGAUCUACAGCCGGUUUUUCCGGUUGAUGGUUCAUUCAGUAUUGGUGGUGAACCGGGUCUCAAUGGUUAAAAGGGACAUCUGAGGGCACUAGUACUCUGUGGCGAGAGGUGGAAUUCUUAGACCCACAGACGACUAACUACUGCGAAGGCAUUUGCCAAGAAUGUUUUCAUUAAUCAAGAACGAAGGUUAGAGGAUCGAAGACGAUCAGAUACCGUCCUAGUUUUAACAGAAAACUAUGCCAGCAUAGGCUGAGGGCGACCAUCCUUACCCAGGAACGAGUCACCUUGGUCCUUAAGGGAAACCUAGCUUUCGGGCUGCUGGGAGAAUAUUGCUGCAAGGCUGAAAUUUAAAGAAAUUGACGGAGAGGCACCACCAGGAGCGGAGCUUGCGGCUUAAUUUGACUCAACACGGGGAAACUCACCAGGUCCAGACAUUGGGAGGAUUGACAGACUGAUAGAUCUUUCAUGAUUCAGUGAUUGGUGGUGCAUGGCCGUUCUUAGUUGGUGGAGUGAUCUGUCAGGUCUAUUCCGGUAACGAGCGAGACCACGGCCUUUUCAGUUACAGCCCAGCCUUUUUGCUUGGUGCUAACUAGAGGGACAGCCGGUGAAAAGCCGGAGGAAGCGUGGCAAUAACAGGUCUGUGAUGCCCUUUGAUGUCCUGGGCUGCACGCGUGCUACAAUGGCAACAGUAGAGAGAUGCUACCUCGGGAGAGGGUUGGCAAACCUGCUAAUAGUUGUCGUGAUUGGGAUUGAGCCUUGCAAUUAUUGCUCAUGAAAUAGGAAUUCCUCGUAAGCACGAGUCAUCAGCUUGUGUUGAAUACGUCUCUGCCUCUUGUAC
rnacentral:rRNA from 1 species